ACAAACAAUAUAAUUAUACUAAAACUAAUUCAAAGUAUCUAAAGGUAAAUAAUUGUUCAGUUUUCUUUGUUCUCCAACACGUUCGUUUCGUUAAUUUACUGGCAGACAAAGUACCAGCACGACCUAAUUACAAGCGCUAUGUUCCACGUUUUGACCACAUGACCAAUACCGUUCACUACUUUAUAUGAAGGAACACCACAUCCAUCAGACCAAACAAAGUCCACAACAUCGUAAGUAAGACCACGCAAAGUCUAGAAUAAUUAAAGCUUUUCCCUGUAAGGUAAUUCACCGAGCUUAAUACA